AUAGUACUACCGGAGGAUCCAG
rnacentral:piRNA from 1 species